rnacentral:rRNA from 1 species
GGGCCCGCACAAGCGGUGGAACAUGUGGUUCAAUUCGACGCAACGCGAAGAACCUUACCUGGGCUUGAAGUGCACAGGACAAUCUUUGGAAACAGAGACUUCCCGCAAGGGACCUGUGUAGAGGUGCUGCAUGGCUGUCGUCAGCUCGUGCCGUGAGGUGUUGGGUUAAGUCCCGCAACGAGCGCAACCCUUACUCAUAGUUGCUACCCGCGAGGGAGAACUCUAUGAGGACUGCUCCGGAUAACGGAGAGGAAGGUGGGGAUGAGGUCAAGUCAGCAUGGCCUUUAUGUCCAGGGCUACACACGUGUUACAAUGCGCGCCACAAAGCGUUGCAAACCCGCGAGGGGGAGCUAAUCGCAAAAAAGCGCGCUCAGUUCGGAUUGCAGUCUGCAACUCGACUGCAUGAAGCCGGAAUCGCUAGUAAUGGCGCAUCAGAACGGCGCCGUGAAUACGUUCCCGGGCCUU